rnacentral:rRNA from 1 species
UGAGGAAUAUUGGUCAAUGGGCGAGAGCCUGAACCAGCCAAGUAGCGUGAAGGAUGAAGGCUCUAUGGGUCGUAAACUUCUUUUAUAUGGGAAUAAAGUUUUCCACGUGUGGAAUUUUGUAUGUACCAUAUGAAUAAGGAUCGGCUAACUCCGUGCCAGCAGCCGCGGUAAUACGGAGGAUCCGAGCGUUAUCCGGAUUUAUUGGGUUUAAAGGGAGCGUAGGUGGAUUGUUAAGUCAGUUGUGAAAGUUUGCGGCUCAACCGUAAAAUUGCAGUUGAAACUGGGAGUCUUGAGUACAGUAGAGGUGGGCGGAAUUCGUGGUGUAGCGGUGAAAUGCUUAGAUAUCACGAAGAACUCCGAUUGCGAAGGCAGCUCACUAGACUGUUACUGACACUGAUGCUCGAAAGUGUGGGUAUCAAACA